rnacentral:rRNA from 1 species
CCGAGUUGUAAUUUGUAGAGGAUGCUUCGGGUGCGGCCGCGGUCUAAGUCCCCUGGAACGGGGCGUCAUAGAGGGUGAGAAUCCCGUCUUUGACCGGCCGGCCACGCCCGUGUGAAGCUCCUUCGACGAGUCGAGUUGUUUGGGAAUGCAGCUCUAAAUGGGUGGUAAAUUUCAUCUAAAGCUAAAUACUGGUCGGAGACCGAUAGCGCACAAGUAGAGUGAUCGAAAGAUGAAAAGCACUUUGAAAAGAGAGUUAAACAGCAUGUGAAAUUGUUGAAAGGGAAGCGCUUGCGAUCAGAGUCGGCCGCGGGGGCUCAGCGGGCAUUCUUUGCCCGUGCACUCCCUCGUGGCCGGGCCAGCGUCGAUUUUGACGGCCGGUCAAAGGCCCCCGGAAUGUGUCGCCUCUCGGGGCGUCUUAUAGCCGGGGGUGCAAUGCGGCCUGUCGGGAUCGAGGAACGCGCUUCGGCACGGACGCUGGCUUAAUGGUCGUAAGCGACCCGUCUUGAAACACGGACCAAGGAGUCUAACAUCCACGCGAGUGUUCGGGUGUCAAACCCGUCCGCGCAGUGAAAGCGAACGGAGGUGGGAACCCUUAAGGGUGCACCAUCGACCGAUCCUGAAGUCUUCGGAUGGAUUUGAGUAAGA